ACAAGGGGUUUUCUCGCAGCAAAAAGUUUUGUAAUCACUCACUGGCACACCCAAACACUGUCCAGUUAAGUGGUAGUGUACAGAUGGAUGAACUCUCCUCAGCUUCAAGAAAAUAAUCAUCUAUGCCAGGGAACUGAAGGCACAACCUGAAACCCAAAGAGGAACGUCUGUGAGGAGGUAGCAGACUCCAGCCUGGUAUACAUGUGUGUCUACAUGAGUUUAUGUGCAUCACAUUCAUGCAGGACCCACUGGAAUUGGAGUUGUGGUCUCUGUGAGCCAUCAGGUGGGUGCUGGGACUAAACUCGGGUCCUGUGCAAGAGCAGUAAGUGCUCUUAACUUCUGAGGUAUCUGAGGCCCCCUAAAAGGCAUCUCACAUGAGUAGUACACAAAUGCCAACAGCAGCUUUAGGCCGAUGUCUUCACUGAUAAAUACUGUGGUCUUGCCAUAUAGAUUUUUCAGAUUUCUACAGUUUUUACACAAGUCUACAUAGGGUACAGCAGACACUCCUCAGGUGUUGGUUACUGGGCAUUCCUUUUUAUAAAAGCAACUCCUGUUCAUAAUUUUUAGCUUUUUGACAAUGGGAAACUCAUUUAUCUGUGACUCUAUCCAAUAAACUCAGUCAUGGGACAGCAGAGUCAUUUUGAAAGGGGAACAAAAAAGCCACAGCACUCUUCCAAAGCAUGAGUCAUCACAUUCCCUGGUCUCUUCCAAAGCAUGAGUCAUCACAUUCCCUGAUCUUUUCCAAGAAAAAUCUGCCUUCACAGGACUGAGAGAUAGAUCCCUGCAUCAGUUAGCAUGUUUGUGUUUGAAUUGCCUCUUGCUUUAGGAAUACCACACAAACCACAAUGCAAUUUACUACAUUCAAACACAGAAAAAGAAAUGGGGUGAGAUGGGGCCCUGGAAAGAUGGCUCUACUGGUUAAGAACAUUGUAUUCUCUCACAGAGGACCCAGGUUCAAUUCCCAGCACCCAUGUGGUGGCUCACAAUUGUCUGUAACUCCAUUUCAGGAGAACUAGCAUCCCUACUGACCUCUGCUGAUACUGCAUGUGGUAUGCUUUCACACAUGCAGGCAAAAUACCCACAUGUAUAAAAUAAAAACAAAUGAAUAUUUUUAAAGAAAAGAAAAAAAACAGUAAAAUUCAUCUUAACAGCAUGUCUUCU